rnacentral:rRNA from 1 species
UAAGUUAUUAAGGGCGCACGGUGGAUGCCUUGGCACUAGAAGCCGAUGAAGGACGUUACUAACGACGAUAUGCUUUGGGGAGCUGUAAGUAAGCUUUGAUCCAGAGAUUUCCGAAUGGGGAAACCCAGCAUGAGUUAUGUCAUGUUAUCGAUAUGUGAAUACAUAGCAUAUCAGAAGGCACACCCGGAGAACUGAAACAUCUUAGUACCCGGAGGAAGAGAAAGAAAAUUCGAUUCCCUUAGUAGCGGCGAGCGAAACGGGAAGAGCCCAAACCAACAAGCUUGCUUGUUGGGGUUGUAGGACACUCUAUACGGAGUUACAAAGGACGACAUUAGACGAAUCAUCUGGAAAGAUGAAUCAAAGAAGGUAAUAAUCCUGUAGUCGAAAAUGUUGUCUCUCUUGAGUGGAUCCUGAGUACGACGGAGCACGUGAAAUUCCGUCGGAAUCUGGGAGGACCAUCUCCUAAGGCUAAAUACUCUCUAGUGACCGAUAGCGAACCAGUACCGUGAGGGAAAGGUGAAAAGCACCCCGGAAGGGGAGUGAAAUAGAACCUGAAACCGUGUGCUUACAAGUAGUCAGAGCCCGUUAAUGGGUGAUGGCGUGCCUUUUGUAGAAUGAACCGGCGAGUUACGAUUUGAUGCAAGGUUAAGCAGUAAAUGUGGAGCCGUAGCGAAAGCGAGUCUGAAUAGGGCGUUUAGUAUUUGGUCGUAGACCCGAAACCAGGUGAUCUACCCUUGGUCAGGUUGAAGUUCAGGUAACACUGAAUGGAGGACCGAACCGACUUACGUUGAAAAGUGAGCGGAUGAACUGAGGGUAGCGAGAAUCCAAUCGAACCUGGAGAUAGCUGGUUCUCUCCGAAAUAGCUUUAGGGCUAGCCUCAAGUGAUGAUUAUUGGAGGUAGAGCACUGUUUGGACGAGGGGCCCCUCUCGGGUUACCGAAUUCAGACAAACUCCGAAUGCCAAUUAAUUUAACUUGGGAGUCAGAACAUGGGUGAUAAGGUCCGUGUUCGAAAGGGAAACAGCCCAGACCACCAGCUAAGGUCCCAAAAUAUAUGUUAAGUGGAAAAGGAUGUGGCGUUGCCCAGACAACUAGGAUGUUGGCUUAGAAGCAGCCAUCAUUUAAAGAGUGCGUAAUAGCUCACUAGUCGAGUGACACUGCGCCGAAAAAUGUACCGGGGCUAAACAUAUUACCGAAGCUGUGGAUUGUCCUUUGGACAAUGGUAGGAGAGCGUUCUAAGGGCGUUGAAGCAUGAUCGUAAGGACAUGUGGAGCGCUUAGAAGUGAGAAUGCCGGUGUGAGUAGCGAAAGACGGGUGAGAAUCCCGUCCACCGAUUGACUAAGGUUUCCAGAGGAAGGCUCGUCCGCUCUGGGUUAGUCGGGUCCUAAGCUGAGGCCGACAGGCGUAGGCGAUGGAUAACAGGUUGAUAUUCCUGUACCACCUAUAAUCGUUUUAAUCGAUGGGGGGACGCAGUAGGAUAGGCGAAGCGUGCGAUUGGAUUGCACGUCUAAGCAGUAAGGCUGAGUAUUAGGCAAAUCCGGUACUCAUUAAGGCUGAGCUGUGAUGGGGAGAAGACAUUGUGUCUUCGAGUCGUUGAUUUCACACUGCCGAGAAAAGCCUCUAGAUAGAAAAUAGGUGCCCGUACCGCAAACCGACACAGGUAGUCAAGAUGAGAAUUCUAAGGUGAGCGAGCGAACUCUCGUUAAGGAACUCGGCAAAAUGACCCCGUAACUUCGGGAGAAGGGGUGCUCUUUAGGGUUAACGCCCAGAAGAGCCGCAGUGAAUAGGCCCAAGCGACUGUUUAUCAAAAACACAGGUCUCUGCUAAACCGUAAGGUGAUGUAUAGGGGCUGACGCCUGCCCGGUGCUGGAAGGUUAAGAGGAGUGGUUAGCUUCUGCGAAGCUACGAAUCGAAGCCCCAGUAAACGGCGGCCGUAACUAUAACGGUCCUAAGGUAGCGAAAUUCCUUGUCGGGUAAGUUCCGACCCGCACGAAAGGCGUAACGAUUUGGGCACUGUCUCAACGAGAGACUCGGUGAAAUCAUAGUACCUGUGAAGAUGCAGGUUACCCGCGACAGGACGGAAAGACCCCGUGGAGCUUUACUGUAGCCUGAUAUUGAAAUUCGGCACAGCUUGUACAGGAUAGGUAGGAGCCUUUGAAACGUGAGCGCUAGCUUACGUGGAGGCGCUGGUGGGAUACUACCCUAGCUGUGUUGGCUUUCUAACCCGCACCACUUAUCGUGGUGGGAGACAGUGUCAGGCGGGCAGUUUGACUGGGGCGGUCGCCUCCUAAAAGGUAACGGAGGCGCUCAAAGGUUCCCUCAGAAUGGUUGGAAAUCAUUCAUAGAGUGUAAAGGCAUAAGGGAGCUUGACUGCGAGACCUACAAGUCGAGCAGGGUCGAAAGACGGACUUAGUGAUCCGGUGGUUCCGCAUGGAAGGGCCAUCGCUCAACGGAUAAAAGCUACCCCGGGGAUAACAGGCUUAUCUCCCCCAAGAGUUCACAUCGACGGGGAGGUUUGGCACCUCGAUGUCGGCUCAUCGCAUCCUGGGGCUGUAGUCGGUCCCAAGGGUUGGGCUGUUCGCCCAUUAAAGCGGUACGCGAGCUGGGUUCAGAACGUCGUGAGACAGUUCGGUCCCUAUCCGUCGUGGGCGUAGGAAAUUUGAGAGGAGCUGUCCUUAGUACGAGAGGACCGGGAUGGACAUACCUCUGGUGUACCAGUUGUCGUGCCAACGGCAUAGCUGGGUAGCUAUGUGUGGACGGGAUAAGUGCUGAAAGCAUCUAAGCAUGAAGCCCCCCUCAAGAUGAGAUUUCCCAACUUCGGUUAUAAGAUCCCUCAAAGAUGAUGAGGUUAAUAGGUUCGAGGUGGAAGCAUGGUGACAUGUGGAGCUGACGAAUACUAAUCGAUCGAAGACUUAAUCA